rnacentral:rRNA from 1 species
GACGAACGCUGGCGGCGUGCCUAAUACAUGCAAGUCGAACGCUUUUUCUUUCACCGGAGCUUGCUCCACCGAAAGAAAAAGAGUGGCGAACGGGUGAGUAACACGUGGGUAACCUGCCCAUCAGAAGGGGAUAACACUUGGAAACAGGUGCUAAUACCGUAUAACACUAUUUUCCGCAUGGAAGAAAGUUGAAAGGCGCUUUUGCGUCACUGAUGGAUGGACCCGCGGUGCAUUAGCUAGUUGGUGAGGUAACGGCUCACCAAGGCAACGAUGCAUAGCCGACCUGAGAGGGUGAUCGGCCACACUGGGACUGAGACACGGCCCAGACUCCUACGGGAGGCAGCAGUAGGGAAUCUUCGGCAAUGGACGAAAGUCUGACCGAGCAACGCCGCGUGAGUGAAGAAGGUUUUCGGAUCGUAAAACUCUGUUGUUAGAGAAGAACAAGGAUGAGAGUAAAAUGUUCAUCCCUUGACGGUAUCUAACCAGAAAGCCACGGCUAACUACGUGCCAGCCGCCGCAGUAA